rnacentral:ncRNA from 1 species
AAAAAUAAAACACAAAAAAGUUCCGGUGAAGGACAUAGAUGGAGAAAAUCUGUCCGUCAUCGGAUGAAAAGGGAAUGCGGUGAGAAUCCGCAGCAGCCCUCGCUACUGUGUAGGGGACGAAUUAUCAAAGCCACUGAUGCGUUGCCAUUGGGAAGGUGAUAAGGAGGAGGAACCAAAGCCAGGAGACCUGCUUUUUUGUGAGGUAUGUA